GAUUCCUUCGGGCGGUCCUGGCUCUCGCCGUCCCACCUCCGGCCUGUGGCCGCUGCCUCGGUCCCCUCCGCGGGCUGCUGGGCUCUGCGCUGUGGAGUAGGGCUUUGGGCCCUGGCUGGGCUUCGGUUCCCGUCAUGGCGGCUGAGGGAGGGAACUCUGAGCCAGGCUCUGCCUUGCCUUCGGUCUACAGCCCCUCCGCACCGGCAGCCGGGGUGGCUGAGAAUGUUAAAUAGGGCAAAAAGUUGUGGUGCUGCUGUUCCCCUCGCCUUGGUUUGCCUUGGAGUUCCUUCAGGAGCUCUGUACCACACAAACCCCUUUCCUGCCCCAGCUGGGGGUGAGGGGGUUUAGUCUGUAAAUGAGCCCAGAAGCCUCACUGUCCACACAGAUACUGUAAUUUUCUGCACUUUGUAAUCCAAGAAGUGCCCUGGUUCAAGAGCUUGUUUCUACAAGUACGUUUUGUAGUUGGAUAACUAAAUGGGGACACGAGCUGCGUGCUGUUACACCUGAGUAGUGUGGUAUAAACCCUUCUGGACAAAUGAUCUUUAGGUAAUACUUGGAAGACUUUUCCACCAGAAUAAAUGCAAAAUUUCCUGUUAUUUCCAUUUUUUAGAAGUACAAGCUCAGGAAAAACCCCAGCAUCUAAGAAGGACUGGCAAAUAGAGCUAUGUUGGUAGGUGAGUACAGCCAGAUCCAGCAGCCUGACAGAUGUGAGGUUGCUCCAGCUCUGGCCCCAGGUCCAGCCAAUAGCCAACCCAAUACACCUUACAAAACAAAAUGCGUAUAUUGGACAGAUACUAAAAUUAAUUUUGUUCUCGGAAGUGUCGUAUUUUAUGAUUGCCUGAGUUGGCAGUAGUGCAUCGUCCUGAAGGUGUGUACAGUGAACGAUCUGCCAGGAUUUCCAUUGGUAACGAAGCAGUCACUUCCCGGUCCGAGUCACCUGCCUGCUUGAAGCUUCUGACAGAUGCAUCUUCCUGCAUUCCUCCACCACACUAGAGCAUUGGAAAACACCAGCCUGGUGUUUCCCAGCUGACUCAGUUAAUUACUGAAAUUAGCAAAAAAUAUCUUCCAGACUCAGAGCCUUGGCUUUUAAAUAACUGACAAGAUAACGUCAGACUUCCUGAGAAUCCCGGGAUACUGUUGUGAUAUCCUGUCCUGUGAAAUGUAGGCUCAUAUUCAGAUUUACUUCUGCGAUGAAGAACUCGUCCUUGCCAAGAAUGAGCUCCGUUCUGUGGAAUCAGAAGACGGUAAAAGACUUCAGGAGCAGCGUGCCUUGAAUUUGAAUUAGCCAGAUUGAAUUUAAAAUCAACAAGCUGAAAGGGCCUGAGAUAAGAAGUCAGAACAUUCAGAGGAAAUGAGAACUGUUCUGGGAACUAAAGCGGUGCUUCUGCGUGCUCAUGAGAGAAGUGGAAUCGGGCACCGGACACACGGAGUGGUGCUGGAUGGUCCCUUACUUGCAAGUUUGCAAGCCAGCUGCAACGAGUAGGUGAAUUCAGGAGCAGGAGAGCACCUUAAUGACCAUCAUCUGCUGUGUAAGUGCAUGCAAGUUAAUUGUACAUGCAAAUUAGUCAUGCAAUAGCCUAAAAUCACACACAGCAAAGACACAGAUUAGCAUCUAAAGUGCAAGAAUCGGGGAGGGAUGAUCCACAAGAACGCUGAGAAAUUGGAGCAGAGGGGGAGCUAAAAAACUGCACAAAAACGACUCUGCAUCCAGAUUUGUAUCUGAGGCAUCUUUCGUACUGGGCUGGGGCUGACCUGAUAGGUUUGGAAAUCUCCCUGGCACAUCUCAUCACCCCUAAAACCACCGUGAGCACAGACCUCAAACACAAAGGUGGUUAUUAUUAUUUGCUGUUAUCUGGAUAGCGCUGACAGCACUUAGAAGUGCCAGAGGAUUCAUGCCUUGGGUUUUGCUCUUGCAAUGGCCAGGAGCAGAGUCUAAUUAGCCCAAACAACAUCCAUGAUAGAGAACAGCCCUACUGACAGGGAGCAAAU